rnacentral:rRNA from 1 species
UACAGAGGGUGCGAGCGUUAAUCGGAAUUACUGGGCGUAAAGCGCGCGUAGGCGGCUUUGCAAGUCGGGUGUGAAAUCCCCAGGCUUAACCUGGGAACUGCAUUCGAGACUGCAUUGCUAGAGUAUGGGAGAGGGAAGUGGAAUUUCCGGUGUAGCGGUGAAAUGCGUAGAUAUCUGGAGGAAUACCGGUGGCGAAGGCGGCAUCCUGGACCAUUUACUGACGCUGAGGCGCGAAAGCUAGGGGAGCAAACGGG